rnacentral:rRNA from 1 species
UGGGGAAUAUUGCACAAUGGGCGAAAGCCUGAUGCAGCAACGCCGCGUGCGGGAAGAAGGCCUUAGGGUUGUAAACCGCUUUCAGCAGGGAAGAAACUGACGGUACCUGCAGAAGAAGGUGCGGCCAACUACGUGCCAGCAGCCGCGGUGACACGUAGGCACCAAGCGUUGUCCGGAUUUAUUGGGCGUAAAGAGCUCGUAGGCGGUUCAGUAAGUCGGGUGUGAAAACUCUGGGCUCAACUCAGAGACGCCACCCGAUACUGCUGUGACUUGAGUACGGUAGGGGAGUGGGGAAUUCCUGGUGUAGCGGUGAAAUGCGCAGAUAUCAGGAGGAACACCAGUGGCGAAGGCGCCACUCUGGGCCGUAACUGACGCUGAGGAGCGAAAGCGUGGGGAGCAAACAGG